UUUUCUCUCACCUUAGAAAGCCACUUCAGCAAAAGAGCAUAGAGCAAUUUGUGACACCUGGCACUUCUAUAUCAACUUUCGUCAACGAUUUAAUCAACCAAAUAAAUGAUCUGGGCUCCUGAUAUUUAUUGGGCUUAAGAAAAAAUUGUUAUCAUUUUUGCUUGGACUGAACAGUGGCCCAUUAUCAAACCACCAUCCUCUGACCUAGGGCUCUCCAUCGGAGCUGCUGCUUCUUUUUUGUCCUACCCCUUUCUCUUCGCCAUCUUCAACCACGUAACGGUCUGUAUUAAUUUCAAUCAACAAGGAAUCCCAAUACUUCCUCCUCAAUGUAUCUUAAAUUACUGGUUUUGCAACUUCAUUCCGUGUGUACAUAGAGACCCUCUGAGAGAGUUGAGGCUGUUGUAGGGAGAUUGAUUGUCUUGAAAACAAUGCUCUGUCUCUGGGCCAAUAAUGUUAAGAAAGCCGGUGAGCGGAUAGGCGUUGAUACGGUACUCAUCGAUUGGAAUGUACGUUCGUUUAUUAAUUCAUCAACUUUUUCAAUUCGUUGUUAUCUUAUUUCACUUCCCCUCAUCAAUCAAUGUUCACCGGUCUUUAUGAACUAAAUGUGUUUGGUGCUACAAGCAGCAACCCAAAUUUUUUUAUUUGGUGACGCCACUGUUGCUAUUAGGUACACGGAUCAAACAGUGUUCGUUGACUUAGCCGAAUCUAUCCACCGCAUCCCGAGGGAGAGCUUUCGGUUUCGCAAUUAAGACCAACUCAUGCUCUUGGCUACCACGAUCACAAUUUUGCGAGGGAUGAUCUCAGCAAGUUAUCCUUUCUUCGCAUAGUUUUGAAGGAUCAUCUAAACCUGGUCCUUACAGUAAAAAGAUUGUUUUAAUCCCUGUACCAUGCUGGUUCUUAUGGGAGCUGACUAAUAAAGGAUGUCCAAGCGUCUUUCUAAGUUUUGUCAUGUAGCUUUGAUAAUCUUUUCCUAGAGUCUCCAAACCCCUUGAGUGAAGCGUGGGUUUCUAACCCAUAACGUUCCUUCAUAUUGGUUUAUUGCGUCUUCCAGUCCUCAAUAUGUUUUGCCUUCUUCUCUUGGUGUCUUUAUUUUGUCUUGCUGGUCAAUCGAUUGAUUUUCAAAGUAAAUAAUUGCAUGUCUACCCAGCGGGAUAAACUUUGAGUUUUCUAUCAUACAAACAACUGGAAACUGAAGUUAUGUACAUUACGGACAAAAACUAAAGGAGAAUCUUUGCUUUACUGUAGAGGCGAUGGAGAGGUAGGUUUGAAUUUCUUAAAUCUUAUCUUUAGCUCCAUACCCCUUGAUUUAUAUAGUUCAUGUUAGCUUCUUCUUUUGUAUGCCAUAUGCAACUCUUGGUAUAAUUUAGUCAAAGAAGUUGGUGAUGCAACUUUUGGGAAUGUUUGGCGAGCUGUCAAUAAACUGACUGGUGAAGUUCUGAGUUGUUUUUCACGAGAGAUCAAGUCUUCUACACUAUUUGUAUUUGAUUUUAGGGUACUAAAGUUUUCAUGACAUGUUGCAGUGUAAAAUAAUGAACAAUAAGAAUGUAUAUCUCUUGGGAAGACUGUAUUAAUCUGAGGGAAGUGACUGUAUUAAUCUGAGGGAAGUGAAAGGUUCCGUAUCUUAUGAAUGAUUCUAUUAAUCAUCUUGCAGAAUCUGAUGUCCGAAAUUGGUGCUUUCAAGUGUCUCUCUUGCAUGCAUCAGCGUGGAUACUUCCACAGUGAUCUAAGGCCAGCUGCACACGUGUGAUGUGUAUUUUUGAUUCAGUUUCCAAGUUUUUUUAGCAGUCAUAUUUAAAUAUUCUGUCAAUGAAUCAUGUGUAUGUUUUUUUCUCCGAUGCAGAAAAUCUGUUAGUCUCUAAAGAUGUCAUUAAGAUGACUGAUAUUGGCCAGGCCGAGAGGUCAAUUCGAGUCCACCGUACACAGUGUAUGUCUCGACACGCUGGUACAAGGAACCUAAAGUACCAACUAGAGUCAUAUGUGUACACGUCAAAAUUUGGGCGCUAUUCUGCCUAAGAUGUUGUCUCUUCGCCCUCUCUUUCCUGGAGCUAGUGUUAUAGGUAUCCCAACUGAAGAGGCAUGGUUGGAGGGGCUUUAAUCGCUUACUAAUUCCCUCAAGUAAUGUUUGCUUAAAUCUUCAACGUUUCUGGAGUAGUAGUGUCCCAGAUAUUUACGGUUACACCAAUAUCAACAAUAUUUAUAUCUAAGUGAGCACUAAAAUAGUGUAACUUAUUAUCUAAAACAAAAGGAUUUACGGAGAAAGUUUCUUUUUUGGUUCUGAAAA